AACGAACGCUGGCGGCAUGCCUUACACAUGCAAGUCGAACGGCAGCGGGGGAGAAGCUUGCUUUUCCUGCCGGCGAGUGGCGAACGGGUGAGUAAUACAUCGGAACGUGCCCUGUAGUGGGGGAUAACUAGUCGAAAGAUUAGCUAAUACCGCAUACGACCUGAGGGUGAAAGUGGGGGACCGCAAGGCCUCAUGCUAUAGGAGCGGCCGAUGUCUGAUUAGCUAGUUGGUGGGGUAAAGGCCUACCAAGGCGACGUUCAGUAGCUGGUCUGGGAGGACGAUCAGCAACGCUGGGACUGAGACGCGGCCCAGACUCCUACGGGAGGCAGCAGUGGGGAAUUGUGUACAAUGGGCGAAAGCCUGAUCCAGCAAUGCCGCGUGUGUGAAGAAGGCCUUCGGGUUGUAAAGCACUUUUGUCCGGAAAGAAAUGGCUCUGGUUAAUACCUGGGGUCGAUGACGGUACCGGAAGAAUAAGGACCGGCUAACUACGUGCCAGCAGCCGCCGUAAUAC
rnacentral:rRNA from 1 species